rnacentral:lncRNA from 1 species
AAAUUUGAUUAAAAAAUGUGUAGAAUCUAAAUAGGAUGUUAUUUUUAGCUGUUGAAUACUUCUUAAAUAUUAUUUUUGGUGCAAACUUAAUCUGUAAUGCACUGUCUUUUUUUUUCUCUCUUUCCGACGACCAUACGAAUUGCAAUAAAUAUCCAUUAAAUUAAAACCAAAUUGAGAGGAAAGAAAACAUCGUUAACCACACAUGCACAUCUUUGGAAAAUCUCGUGGGGAGAAACAACAUAUUUUUCAUCUUAUUCCGAGUGAUUGUACAUUCAAACGCGUUUUCAUUGUGUGAGCACUGAGGCCAUCGUCGACAACACAAAUGUGCUGAUAUAUUACGUUCAAAGCGUGUGUUAUUUUCUCUUCCGUUGCAACGCACGAGCUUUUUU